GAUUGCCUUAGUAGCGGCGAGCGAAACGGCAGGAGGGCAAACCGAAGAGUUUACUCUUCGGGGUUGUAGGACUGCAAUGUGGACUCAAAGAUUAUAGAAGAAUGAUUUGGGAAGAUCAGCCAAAGAGAGUAAUAGCCUCGUAUUUAAAAUAGUCUUUGUACCUAGCAGUAUCCUGAGUACGGCGGGACACGUGAAAUCCCGUCGGAAUCUGGGAGGACCAUCUCCCAACCCUAAAUACUCCCUAGUGACCGAUAGUGAACCAGUACCGUGAGGGAAAGGUGAAAAGCACCCCGGGAGGGGAGUGAAAUAGAACCUGAAACCGUGUGCCUACAACAAGUUCGAGCCCGUUAAUGGGUGAGAGCGUGCCUUUUGUAGAAUGAACCGGCGAGUUACGUUAUGAUGCGAGGUUAAGUUGAAGAGACGGAGCCGUAGGGAAACCGAGUCUGAAUAGGGCGCCUUAGUAUCAUGACGUAGACCCGAAACCAUGUGACCUACCCAUGAGCAGGUUGAAGGUGCGGUAAGACGCACUGGAGGACCGAACCAGGGCACGUUGAAAAGUGCUUGGAUGACUUGUGGGUAGCGGAGAAAUUCCAAACGAACUUGGAGAUAGCUGGUUCUCUCCGAAAUAGCUUUAGGGCUAGCGUCGACAUUAGAGAUUCUUGGAGGUAGAGCACUGUUUGGGUGAGGGGUCCAUCCCGGAUUACCAAUCUCAGAUAAACUCCGAAUGCCAAUGAAUUAUGGUCGGCAGUCAGACUGCGAGUGCUAAGAUCCGUAGUCGAAAGGGAAACAGCCCAGACCACCAGCUAAGGUCCCAAAAUAAUUGUUAAGUGGAAAAGGAUGUGGGGUUGCACAGACAACUAGGAUGUUAGCUUAGAAGCAGCUAUUCAUUCAAAGAGUGCGUAAUAGCUCACUAGUCGAGUGACCCUGCGCCGAAAAUGUACCGGGGCUAAAACAAUUUACCGAAGCUGUGGAUACCUUUAUAGGUAUGGUAGGAGAGCGUUCUAUGUGUGAUGAAGGUAUACCGUGAGGAGUGCUGGAACGCAUAGAAGUGAGAAUGCCGGUAUGAGUAGCGAAAGACAGGUGAGAAUCCUGUCCACCGUAAGACUAAGGUUUCCAGGGGAAGGCUCGUCCGCCCUGGGUUAGUCGGGACCUAAGGAGAGACCGAAAGGUGUAUCCGAUGGACAACAGGUUGAUAUUCCUGUACUAGAGUAUGUAGUGAUGGAGGGACGCAGUAGGCUAACUAAAGCAGACGAUUGGAAGAGUCUGUCUAAGCAGUGAGGUGUGAAUUGAGUCAAAUGCUUAAUUCUAUAACAUUGAGCUGUGAUGGGGAGCGAAGUUUAGUAGCGAAGUUAGUGACGUCACACUGCCAAGAAAAGCUUCUAGCGUUUAAACAUACUCUACCCGUACCGCAAACCGACACAGGUAGUCGAGGCGAGUAGCCUCAGGUGAGCGAGAGAACUCUCGUUAAGGAACUCGGCAAAAUGACCCCGUAACUUCGGGAGAAGGGGUGCUGACUUAAAGUCAGCCGCAGUGAAUAGGCCCAAGCAACUGUUUAUCAAAAACACAGCUCUCUGCUAAAUCGUAAGAUGAUGUAUAGGGGGUGACGCCUGCCCGGUGCUGGAAGGUUAAGAGGAGUGCUUAGCGUAAGCGAAGGUAUGAAUUGAAGCCCCAGUAAACGGCGGCCGUAACUAUAACGGUCCUAAGGUAGCGAAAUUCCUUGUCGGGUAAGUUCCGACCCGCACGAAAGGCGUAAUGAUUUGGGCACUGUCUCAACGAGAGACUCGGUGAAAUUUUAGUACCUGUGAAGAUGCAGGUUACCCGCGACAGGACGGAAAGACCCCAUGGAGCUUUACUGCAGUUUGAUAUUGAGUGUCUGUACCACAUGUACAGGAUAGGUAGGAGUCUAAGAAAUCGGGACGCCAGUUUCGAAGGAGACGCUGUUGGGAUACUACCCUUGUGUUAUGGCCACUCUAACCCAGAUAGGUGAUCCCUAUCGGAGACAGUGUCUGACGGGCAGUUUGACUGGGGCGGUCGCCUCCUAAAAGGUAACGGAGGCGCCCAAAGGUUCCCUCAGAAUGGUUGGAAAUCAUUCGCAGAGUGUAAAGGUAUAAGGGAGCUUGACUGCGAGAGCUACAACUCGAGCAGGGACGAAAGUCGGGCUUAGUGAUCCGGUGGUUCCGUAUGGAAGGGCCAUCGCUCAACGGAUAAAAGCUACCCUGGGGAUAACAGGCUUAUCUCCCCCAAGAGUUCACAUCGACGGGGAGGUUUGGCACCUCGAUGUCGGCUCGUCGCAUCCUGGGGCUGUAGUCGGUCCCAAGGGUUGGGCUGUUCGCCCAUUAAAGCGGCACGCGAGCUGGGUUCAGAACGUCGUGAGACAGUUCGGUCCCUAUCCGUCGCGGGCGUAGGAAAUUUGAGAGGAUCUGCUCCUAGUACGAGAGGACCAGAGUGGACUUACCGCUGGUGUACCAGUUGUCUUGCCAAAGGCAUCGCUGGGUAGCUAUGUAGGGAAGGGAUAAACGCUGAAAGCAUCUAAGUGUGAAACCCACCUCAAGAUGAGAUUUCCCAUGAUUAUAUAUCAGUAAGAGCCCUGAGAGAUGAUCAGGUAGAUAGGUUAGAAGUGGAAGUGUGGCGACACAUGUAGCGGACUAAUACUAAUAGCUCGAGGACUUAUCCAA
rnacentral:rRNA from 1 species